rnacentral:lncRNA from 1 species
GCCCUGCUACCUGCCAUCAGGCGCCGAGGGGUCCCCCCGCCCCUCUCAAAGGCACGGGGGGUCGGGCUACUUCCCCAAAGUUGCCGCUGGCUCCGUCGAGGUCAGCGAAAGCUGCGGGGCUGGGGGUGACGACGGGACGGGCGAGAAGCGGGGCGCCAGGCAGAAAUAUUUACCCCCGCAGUGCAGUUUGCUGUGAGCACCUCAGCGGUCUCAAGCGAAUAGAUCGUGAGACUAGAUCCAUCAGAGCGUAUUGUUCCAGCCGUGGAAUGCUUUUGAAGAUGCGAAUCACUCGCUCAAAAUCCUCUAAAGUUCAUUCUGAGUUCUGGGCAAAAUGCCAACCGCUUUCAGUGCGAGGCAAACCUCAGUUGAAUCGGAUUAUGCUGCUAGGAGAUUCUCCGCUAUCCUAUCCCCCCUAUGGCAACCACAUGUUUCCAUGAGUGGAGAAAAGAUGAGGUUCAUUCUUCCUGACGGCACUUGGAAGUGGAAGAAGCAGAGCCUCAAAGGCUUCAGAUGUUUCCCCUAGCCUGAAACUGAUGUGUCACAACUUUAUUUGCAGAGCUGAUCAUUAUGUGCAGCCUUCUUCGUUGUACGCUGUUGCCUUUUGGGUUCGGCACCCCAUAAUCACAUGUUCCUCUCUAUCUCAUAUACCUCUACUACAUAUCUGUUAAUAUUUUCAAGUCCUUCAUUAAACAUGCUUUCUCCAAAAUUAUGUCUGUUUGACAACUGCAAAUAUUCUGGAAAUACUCUGUGUCUAUGAUGACAACAUUUAGAUAAGAAAUGUGUUUGCUUCCUUAUGUUCAAUGGCCACUUCAGACUAAUCUGACAGCUGAACGAUCAGAACAAUAGCGUUUGUGUAACUUUAUUUCUACUGAUUAAACCAAAUGAAUGUAUACCUGAAGUCCAAUUUGUGAUCUGCCAAUAAAGAGGAGAUCUGUAGGAAG